CCCUUAGAUGUUCUGGGCUGCACGCGCGCUACACUGAUGCGUUCAACGAGUUUACGGCCUUGCCCGAUAGGGUUGGGUAAUCUUCUUAAAACGCAUCGUGAUGGGGAUAGAUUAUUGCAAUUAUUAAUUUUCAACGAGGAAUUCCUAGUAAGUGCGAGUCAUCAGCUCGUACUGAUUACGUCCCUGCCCUUUGUACACACCGCCCGUCGCUCCUACCGAUUGAGUGGUCCGGUGAGGCUUUGGGAUCUGAGCGGAAAGAGCGUUUCGCUGUUUCUGCUCGGAAAACUCAGUCGAACCUUAUCAUUUAGAGGAAGGAGAAGUCGUAACA
rnacentral:rRNA from 1 species